rnacentral:rRNA from 1 species
AUUGAACGCUGGCGGCAGGCUUAACACAUGCAAGUCGAACGAUGACUCUCUAGCUUGCUAGAGAAGAUUAGUGGCGGACGGGUGAGUAACAUUUAGGAAUCUGCCUAGUAGUGGGGGAUAGCUCGGGGAAACUCGAAUUAAUACCGCAUACGACCUACGGGUGAAAGGGGGCGCAAGCUCUUGCUAUUAGAUGAGCCUAAAUCAGAUUAGCUAGUUGGUGGGGUAAAGGCCCACCAAGGCGACGAUCUGUAACUGGUCUGAGAGGAUGAUCAGUCACACCGGAACUGAGACACGGUCCGGACUCCUACGGGAGGCAGCAGUGGGGAAUAUUGGACAAUGGGGGCAACCCUGAUCCAGCCAUGCCGCGUGUGUGAAGAGGGCCUUUUGGUUGUAAAGCACUUUAAGCAGGGAGGAGAGGCUAAUGGUUAAUACCCAUUAGAUUAGACGUUACCUGCAGAAUAAGCACCGGCUAACUCUGUGCCAGCAGCCGCGGUAAUACAGAGGGUGCGAGCGUUAAUCGGAAUUACUGGGCGUAAAGCGAGUGUAGGUGGCUCAUUAAGUCACAUGUGAAAUCCCCGGGCUUAACCUGGGAACUGCAUGUGAUACUGGUGGUGCUAGAAUAUGUGAGAGGGAAGUAGAAUUCCAGGUGUAGCGGUGAAAUGCGUAGAGAUCUGGAGGAAUACCGAUGGCGAAGGCAGCUUCCUGGCAUAAUAUUGACACUGAGAUUCGAAAGCGUGGGUAGCAAACAGGAUUAGAUACCCUGGUAGUCCACGCCGUAAACGAUGUCUACUAGCCGUUGGGGUCCUUGAGACUUUAGUGGCGCAGUUAACGCGAUAAGUAGACCGCCUGGGGAGUACGGCCGCAAGGUUAAAACUCAAAUGAAUUGACGGGGGCCCGCACAAGCGGUGGAGCAUGUGGUUUAAUUCGAUGCAACGCGAAGAACCUUACCUGGUCUUGACAUAGUGAGAAUCCUGCAGAGAUGCGGGAGUGCCUUCGGGAAUUCACAUACAGGUGCUGCAUGGCUGUCGUCAGCUCGUGUCGUGAGAUGUUGGGUUAAGUCCCGCAACGAGCGCAACCCUUUUCCUUAUUUGCCAGCGGGUUAAGCCGGGAACUUUAAGGAUACUGCCAGUGACAAACUGGAGGAAGGCGGGGACGACGUCAAGUCAUCAUGGCCCUUACGACCAGGGCUACACACGUGCUACAAUGGUAGGUACAGAGGGUUGCUACACAGCGAUGUGAUGCUAAUCUCAAAAAGCCUAUCGUAGUCCGGAUUGGAGUCUGCAACUCGACUCCAUGAAGUCGGAAUCGCUAGUAAUCGCAGAUCAGAAUGCUGCGGUGAAUACGUUCCCGGGCCU